rnacentral:tRNA from 1 species
GUGAUUGUAGUUUAAACUAAAAAUUUCUGCUUUGCAUGUAGAGGAUCUAGGAGGCUCUAGUGAUCACA